rnacentral:rRNA from 1 species
GCAAGUCGAACGCGAACGAGUUCUUCGGAACUUUAGUAGAGUGGCGCACGGGUGAGUAACGCGUAAGUAAUCUACCCUCGCAUCUGGGAUAACCCACCGAAAGGUGUGCUAAUACCGGAUACGUUGAUUUAUCAAGAAAGGUGGCCUCUGAUUCAAGCUACUGUGCGGGGAGGAGCUUGCGUACCAUUAGCUAGUUGGUAGGGUAACGGCCUACCAAGGCGACGAUGGUUAGCGGGUCUGAGAGGAUGAUC